rnacentral:rRNA from 1 species
UAUCCAGGGCUACACACGUCCUACAAUGAACCGGUACAAAGGGAAGCAAGACCGCGAGGUGGAGCAAAUCCCAAAAAGCCGGACCUCAGUGCGGAUUGCAGUCUGCAACUCGACUGCAUGAAGUUGGAAUCGCUAGUAAUCGCAGAUCAGCACGCUGCGGUGAAUAAGUUCUCGGGUUU